rnacentral:rRNA from 1 species
GUCGGAAAUCGUACGUAGAGUGUAAAGGCAAAAGAGAGCUUGAUUGCAAGACAUACAGGUCGAGCAAGGAUGAAAAUCGGACUUAGUGAUCCGGUGGUUCUGCGUGGAAGGGCCAUCGCUCAACGGAGAAAAGCUACCCUGGGGAUAACAGGCUUAUCUCCCCCAAGAGUCCACAUCGACGGGGAGGUUUGGCACCUCGAUGUCGGCUCAUCACAUCCUGGGGCUGUAGUAGGUCCCAAGGGUUGGGCUGUUCGCCCAUUAAAGUGGUACGCGAGCUGGGUUCAGAACGUCGUGAGACAGUUCGGUCCCUAUCCGUCGCAGGCGUAGGAAAUUUGAGAAGACCUGUCCUUAGUACGAGAGGACCGGGAUGGACGUACCUCUGGUGUACCAGUUGUCCUGCCAAGGGCAUGGCUGGGUAGCUAUGUACGGAAUGGAUAAGCGCUGAAAGCAUCUAAGCGCGAAGCCAACUUCAAGAUAAGAUUUCCCACCG